AUACGUAGGGUGCAAGCGUUAAUCGGAAUUACUGGGCGUAAAGCGUGCGCAGGCGGUUUUGUAAGACAGCGGUGAAAUCCCCGGGCUCAACCUGGGAACUGCCAUUGUGACUGCAAGGCUGGAGUGCGGCAGAGGGGGAUGGAAUUCCGCGUGUAGCAGUGAAAUGCGUAGAUAUGCGGAGGAACACCGAUGGCGAAGGCAAUCCCCUGGGCCUGCACUGACGCUCAUGCACGAAAGCGUGGGGAGCAAACGGGAUUAGAUACCCUGGUAGUCCACGCCCUAAACGAUGUCAACUGGUUGUUGGGGAUUUAUUUUCUCAGUAACGAAGCUAACGCGUGAAGUUGACCGCCUGGGGAGUACGGCCGCAAGGUUAAAACUCAAAUGAAUUGACGGGG
rnacentral:rRNA from 1 species